GCAGCAGCAGCAUUCUUCGCUGCAGCAACUGUCCGCCGCUUUAUUUUCUACAACCUUUUUAGAUCAAGGGUCCUUAGACUUGAUGGCUAGUUGGAAUCUCCUGGGAAGCUUUAAAUUUCCAGAUGCCCAGGCCCCAACCCAGACCACUUACAUCUGAGUCUCGGAGGAGGGUGGGGUGAGAGGGAAACGGGGCAUCAGUAUUUUUCAGUGCUUCCCAAGCGACUCCAACGUGCAGGACUGGCUGUUCGGGAAUCUGAGCAGGCUUUCCAGAGGCACCGGCUAGUGGAGGAUGUGUGUGUGCGAGAGACCCGGGGUCCUGCUCUGCCUCUAGGCCUGGCUUGGAGAUGCCGGGUCUCCGGGUUCCCGCAGGCACCCACACGUGCGGCCGCGGCGACGAGUCUGGUCAUCUGCGGAGACGGCCAGCGGGGCUCGGCGGCCGCCACGCUGCCCACCCCAACCACAGAGGUUCGCAGGAGACGCCCGGGGCUCAGGAAUCUUACCUUGGCUGCCGGCGCUGCCCUCCAGUUCCCGGAAUCCUGGGACUCGGGUUCGAUCUGUCGCCGGGCUCGGCGGUCGCUCUCGUCUGCGCCGGAGAGGCGCCCACCAAGAGCUCAGGCGCCACCUAGUGGGCGAGGGGCGGCCGCGCAGGGAAUCGGUUGGGAGGUGGGAGCGCAGGCGGAUUCAGGCGGAAAUGCAGCCCGGGCUUCCCACGUGGGCGGUUUUCCAACAAGCUGCGCACCCCGGGCACACAUCCCGGCUGGGUGGGACGGCCUUCACUCCCUGAAGGGCGCUAGGACCUGAACUUGCUGAACUUUCUGUUGGGAGCUCGGAGGGGCAGCCAGACCCUGGCUGCUGGCCUGAGAGCCAUCCUGGGAUUUUCCUGGCCCGACUCGGGGAUCUUAGCCUUUCAUCCAGAAGCUUUUCAAUUUGGCAUAGCCUGCCCUUUAAAUAUGCUGGGAACAUCAGAAGAUGCAAGGGACCUGGGUUUCUCUCAAGGCCGGGAGGCCUUUUCUCUACUUCUCUACUAGUAACCCUCUUUUGGCCCUGCCUAAC
rnacentral:lncRNA from 1 species